rnacentral:rRNA from 1 species
AUUGAACGCUGGCGGCAUGCUUUACACAUGCAAGUCGAACGGCAGCGCGGGCUUCGGCCUGGCGGCGAGUGGCGAACGGGUGAGUAAUGCAUCGGAACGUGCCCAGUAGUGGGGGAUAGCCCGGCGAAAGCCGGAUUAAUACCGCAUACGACCUGAGGGUGAAAGCGGGGGACCGAAAGGCCUCGCGCUAUUGGAGCGGCCGAUGUCGGAUUAGCUAGUUGGUGGGGUAAAGGCUUACCAAGGCGACGAUCCGUAGCUGGUCUGAGAGGACGACCAGCCACACUGGGACUGAGACACGGCCCAGACUCCUACGGGAGGCAGCAGUGGGGAAUUUUGGACGAUGGCGGCAACCCUGAUCCAGCCAUGCCGCGUGCGGGAAGAAGGCCUUCGGGUUGUAAACCGCUUUUGUUCGGGAAGAAAUCCUCUGGGCUAAUACCCCGGGGGGAUGACGGUACCGGAAGAAUAAGCACCGGCUAACUACGUG